rnacentral:rRNA from 1 species
CCUACGGGUGGCAGCAGUGAGGAAUAUUGGUCAAUGGGCGCGAGCCUGAACCAGCCAAGUAGCGUGAAGGAUGACUGCCCUACGGGUUGUAAACUUCUUUUAUAAAGGGAUAAAGUGAGUCACGUGUGCCUUUUUGUAUGUACUUUAUGAAUAAGGAUCGGCUAACUCCGUGCCAGCAGCCGCGGUAAUAGGGGGGAUCCGAGCGUUAUCCGGAUUUAUUGGGUUUAAAGGGAGCGGAGGUGGGUUGUUAAGUCAGUUGUGAAAGUUUGGGGCUCAACCGGAAAAUUGCAAUUGAUACUGGCAGGAUUGAGUACAGUAGAGGGAGGCAGAAUUCGUGGUGUAGCGGUGAAAUGCUUAGAGAUCACGAAGAACCCCGAUGGCGAAGGCAGCCUACUAAACUGUGACUGACAUUGAUGUGCGAAAGUGUGGGUAUCAAACAGGAUUAGAUACCCUAGUAGUC